ACCCAGCAAUUAAACAAAACCGGCGGCACCUUCCUCUUAAUUAAACGCAGGAAAAGAUCAGCCUCUCGUUUCAUUCCUCUCCUAUCCACUCACUUUCCCAAAGCAGUAGCUUCUCCGCGGCGCUCGUCAGCGAACUGCACACCAGACCUUGCGGCCACGGCGUCCCUCGGCCCUCGCGGCGCUCGUAGGCGAGCUGCGCGCCGUUCCUGAGGACGCAGCCUCCGUCGCCCGGCGCGGCGCUCGUCGUCGAGCUGCGCGCUGUUCCUGAGGCCGCAGCCUCCGCCGCCCUGCGCGGCGCUCGUCGGCGACCUGCGUGCCGUCCCACCUCGGCGGUCACCUUCGUGGCCCUGUUUGCCGCGUUCGCCGCUUGUCGUGGUAGAAGGAUGGCUGCAGUGAAGCAUUUGAUGUUGGGUGUCCUAUCAUCGUACCAAUGGACGACUGCAGCGAGGCAUUCGGAGCUGGGCGUCCUCUCAUCGUACCAACGGAUGGCUGCAGCGAGGCAUUCGGAGCUGGGCGUCCUCUCAUCGUACCAACGGAUGGCUGCAGCGAGGCAUUUGGAGCUGGGUGUCCUAUCAUCGUACCAAGAGACGGCAAUAGUGAGGCAUCCAGAGCUGAGUUGCAUUGUUCUGAAUAGGAUUGGGAGAAGACUGUUGGGUCAGAGAAAAAGGAAGAACGCAAUGGAAACAAGAUGGCUUACAUUUGGGGGAUUUGAUUCCUCAUUGGUUCCGGCAAGAAUUGGUGAAGAAGCCAUCAAGUUCCUCCAGCAAGUCCCUUUGUUGGAUCUGUGUUCGUAGAUAGAUUUGAUGAAGUGUAUAGUUUGGUUUGUUUCGUACUCUAUGUGCGGGAUAAGUUCACGGCCAAUGCUUUUGGCGGGCAAGACAUAUUUAUUUCCCUCCAAAUCUUUGUUCUGUUGCGUUAAUUACGUUUGCCUAGAGAAAGUCCGGAACGGCUGGUUUUAAUUAAGAGACGGACGGCCGCUUUUGUUUAA